GACGAACGCUGGCGGCGUGCCUAAUACAUGCAAGUUGAGCGCUGAAGGUUGGUACUUGUACCAACUGGAUGAGCAGCGAACGGGUGAGUAACGCGUGGGGAAUCUGCCUUUGAGCGGGGGACAACAUUUGGAAACGAAUGCUAAUACCGCAUAAAAACUUUAAACACAAGUUUUAAGUUUGAAAGAUGCAAUUGCAUCACUCAAAGAUGAUCCCGCGUUGUAUUAGCUAGUUGGUGAGGUAAAGGCUCACCAAGGCGAUGAUACAUAGCCGACCUGAGAGGGUGAUCGGCCACAUUGGGACUGAGACACGGCCCAAACUCCUACGGGAGGCAGCAGUAGGGAAUCUUCGGCAAUGGACGAAAGUCUGACCGAGCAACGCCGCGUGAGUGAAGAAGGUUUUCGGAUCGUAAAACUCUGUUGGUAGAGAAGAACGUUGGUGAGAGUGGAAAGCUCAUCAAGUGACAGUAACUACACAGAAAGGGACGGCUAACUACGUG
rnacentral:rRNA from 1 species